CAGUCGCCGCGGUAAUACGAAGGGGGCUAGCGUUGUUCGGAUUUACUGGGCGUAAAGGGCGCGUAGGCGGGCGAUUAAGUCAGGGGUGAAAUCCCAAGGCUCAACCUUGGAACUGCCUUUGAUACUGAUUGUCUUGAGUCCGGGAGAGGUGAGUGGAACUGCGAGUGUAGAGGUGAAAUUCGUAGAUAUUCGCAAGAACACCAGUGGCGAAGGCGGCUCACUGGCCCGGAACUGACGCUGAGGCGCGAAAGCGUGGGAGCAAACAGGAUUAGAUACCCCCGUAGUCCCUGUCUCUUAUACA
rnacentral:rRNA from 1 species